GUUAAGCGACUAAGCGUACACGGUGGAUGCCCUGGCAGUCAGAGGCGAUGAAGGACGUGCUAAUCUGCGAUAAGCGUCGGUGAGGUGAUAUGAACCGUUAUAACCGGCGAUUUCCGAAUGGGGAAACCCAGUGUGUUUCGACACACUAUCAUUAACUGAAUCCAUAGGUUAAUGAGGCGAACCGGGGGAACUGAAACAUCUAAGUACCCCGAGGAAAAGAAAUCAACCGAGAUUCCCCCAGUAGCGGCGAGCGAACGGGGAGGAGCCCAGAGCCUGAAUCAGUGUGUGUGUUAGUGGAAGCGUCUGGAAAGGCGUGCGAUACAGGGUGACAGCCCCGUACACAAAAAUGCACAUAUUGUGAGCUCGAUGAGUAGGGCGGGACACGUGGUAUCCUGUCUGAAUAUGGGGGGACCAUCCUCCAAGGCUAAAUACUCCUGACUGACCGAUAGUGAACCAGUACCGUGAGGGAAAGGCGAAAAGAACCCCGGCGAGGGGAGUGAAAAAGAACCUGAAACCGUGUACGUACAAGCAGUGGGAGCCUCUUAAUGAGGUGACUGCGUACCUUUUGUAUAAUGGGUCAGCGACUUAUAUUCUGUAGCAAGGUUAACCGAAUAGGGGAGCCGAAGGGAAACCGAGUCUUAACUGGGCGUUAAGUUGCAGGGUAUAGACCCGAAACCCGGUGAUCUAGCCAUGGGCAGGUUGAAGGUUGGGUAACACUAACUGGAGGACCGAACCGACUAAUGUUGAAAAAUUAGCGGAUGACUUGUGGCUGGGGGUGAAAGGCCAAUCAAACCGGGAGAUAGCUGGUUCUCCCCGAAAGCUAUUUAGGUAGCGCCUCGUGAAUUCAUCUCCGGGGGUAGAGCACUGUUUCGGCAAGGGGGUCAUCCCGACUUACCAACCCGAUGCAAACUGCGAAUACCGGAGAAUGUUAUCACGGGAGACACACGGCGGGUGCUAACGUCCGUCGUGAAGAGGGAAACAACCCAGACCGCCAGCUAAGGUCCCAAAGUCAUGGUUAAGUGGGAAACGAUGUGGGAAGGCCCAGACAGCCAGGAUGUUGGCUUAGAAGCAGCCAUCAUUUAAAGAAAGCGUAAUAGCUCACUGGUCGAGUCGGCCUGCGCGGAAGAUGUAACGGGGCUAAACCAUG
rnacentral:rRNA from 1 species